UCAAAAGUCAAAACAAAACAACGUGUUGGUGUUUUAAAUUGUCUUGUGUCGUAUACUUAAUUAGCAAUAAAUCAAAUAAAUAAAUGAUAUUUUUAUGAGUUUAGGGUUGCUAAAAGCAAAACACCAAACAAAAUGACAUCAAUCUUUCUUCGUACAGAUGUAACGUGUGUCAAACUUUUCAAGAAUUAUAUUCUUGCAGGUAUAGGAAGCAAACUUAAUAUAUUCGACCGAGACACAUUUAAACUGCUACUAGAACUGGACACUCUUGAAGGGCAGACAAUUUAUGGCAUUAUUCCCUCUAAGUGUGAAAGUAAUAUUCUAAUAUAUGGAGGAAAACAGUUGGCUGUUGCAAGAUUUACUGAGAGCGAGGACGGGCAAGCAACAUGCUCAGCUCCGGUCAUAAUAUGUGAUGACUGGUUACAUUCCGGUGUCUGGGUUAAUGAGACUGAUGUUGCGGUUCUUACAGCUCACAAUGUGGUGCAGAUCUGGGACACUCAAAAUUGGUGUCUCAAGUCUAAACAUGAGAGUAAAAACAACUCAAUCCUGUACAGUGGGUUGCUGGCAGUACUUAAUGAUGAUAUUCUCAUAUUCAGUGGUACUGUAUACUCUGAAGUUAUCAUACAGACAUUCAAACUGGGUCCCCUACACUUCCUCAAAGGACAUAAUGGUGUUAUAUUCUCAAUAACAUAUGACGUAGUCAAGGAAAUUAUAGUUACAACAUCUGAUGAUAGAUCUGUACGUAUCUGGAAAAUACACAAUGACAGUUUUGAUCACAAGAUAAGUAGCUACUGGCAAAAUAUCAAAAUUGAGUGUAUACAUGACCUAUACGGGCAUACAGCAAGAGUUAUGAGGAGCCACAUAAGUGAGGAGUGUAUAAUAUCAGUUGGAGAAGAUUCCGGAAUAUGUUACUGGGGUUUCAAUGGAAGUUUACUUAGGAGGAUCAUGUCCCAUCAAAAUAGCAGUAUUUGGAGCCUACAUGCUGAUGAUAAACAUCUUGUCACUGGUGGGGGAGAUGGUGCUAUAAUUCUACAUCCAUUAGGAUCAAUAGAUGACUAUAAGAAUAGUGAAAUAAUCACCAUUGAUGCAGAUACACCAAAAAAGUUGGUAUUCACAGCUAGAAGAAAUAUUGUUAUGGUCAAUGAAAGCAAUGAAUUAAUUUAUUUUGAUGUGGCAUCUAAACAACCCACAAAACAUGACUUAAAUCAUGAAUCAACCUACAAAAUGCUUGAUAUAACCUCCUGUAAACAAAUAAUAGCAGUUUCAGAUAUGAAAGGUAAUCUAGAUGUGUUUAUCGAAAAUUGUAAAGGUGAAGCAGAAAUACAUAAAAUUGUAGACACAAAAUUAAAUAUUGGUAAAGUUUUAUCAAUGCAUUGGGCUGGCAAUAGACAUCUUAUAUUUUGCUCUGAUAGUGGUAGUGUAAAUGUAGUUGCAGCAACUCAUAAUGCUAUCGAAAUUAUAUCUUCAUAUGUCUUACCACCUUGCAAAGAAAGAUGGCUAACAGCUGCUGCUAUGGAUGUAGAUCGGAAGAUUAUUUUAGUGGGGGAUAGAUGUGGAAAUAUACAUGUUUACAAUAAUGGAGUAAAAAAUCCAGUGAAAACAUUCAAUAAGGUCCACGGUAGAUAUGGUGCCACUUCAAUAAAUGUACGAGAUAAAGACAUAAUUACGACUGGAAGAGAUGGCUCAAUUAAAUACUUUUCUAUGCAUAACUAUAAAGUUAAAUACAUGUCCACCAAAAACGUCGAAUUUCAGUGGGUAGAAAAGUUUAUUGAUAAGAAUUAUAAAUAUGUUUGUGGAUUUCAAGAGAGAAUUUUUGUUGUUUAUAGUUUAGAUAACGAUAUGAAGUUGAUAGAAGCGAAUUGUGGGGGCGGGCAUCGGUCCUGGGACGUCGUACGAUUUGUUGAUAAGAUAAACGAUUGUUAUGAGAAAGUUAUCAAACUAGUUUACAUAAAGAAUUCAGAUAUCCAUUUAAACACAUUCCUAAUGAAUAGAAUCGUGUCUCAAAAUGUAGUACAUGGUACUCACUCUAAUGCUAUUAACUGCUUGAAAACAGUAAAGCAUAGAAAAGAUGGGAAAACAACAUUUUUCAUAUCUGGAGGAGAAGAUACAACUCUAAGAAUAUCUAAACUAGAUAAUGAUGGGAACUUCAAAGAUGAUUUUAUAUUUAAACAUCUAUCUAACAUAAGAACUGUUAAAACAGCUGAUCUAGAUGAUGAUAGAAUUCUUCUACUGUCUGCUGGUGGUAGGGCACAGAUUUGUGCUAAAAUCCUUGAUGUUAAAGAAACUAAAGUCAUUGCGGAAGAAGUAGUAGAUUUUCUUAUAAAAGGGACUGAUAAAGAGAGAAAAGGCAAUCAAAAUUGGAAAAGCGUAACAGUAGAUUUUGAUCCUGAAACUAGAGUCAUGGAUUUGGAAACUAUUAAAGCCGCUAAUGGAUUUAAAAUAUUCGCUGCUUGCUCUGAUGCAUACUUGAGAGUAUUUGAAUUAAAUGAAAAUAAACUAUCACUUAUUAACAAUAUAAAACAUCACAAUACUUGCAUAUUAAAGACACAUUCCCUUAACAUUAAAAACAUGGAUUUAGUCGUAACUUGUACAACCAGAGGUGAUAUAGCAUUUUGGAAUGCCUCUAAUGACAUUGUAUUUUCAACAAAAACAAAUAAAUCAGGCAUAAACUGCGUUUCAUCGGCUGUCAUAUCAGAUAAAAGAUUUGUUAUAGCUACUGGUGGUGAUGAUAAUUCUAUACACAUAGUACUAUUAGAAUAUAAUUCUACAAUGGAGAUUAUAGCAAAAUGGACAUCAAAUCAAUACCAUUGUUCUCAGAUAACUGGUAUUAUUUGUGUGGAUGAUUUGUUGAUUUCAACGUCUAUAGACCAAAGAGUAACUUUGUUAAAGUGGUCUAUAAAUGAUGAUGAAAUAAAAUGUAAUUUCUUAUCCCAAUGCUUCAGUAAUGUAGCCGACAUACAUGGAAUGGACCUUUUGGAGUAUAACAACGAUUCUGUAGUGGUCUGUGUGUUCGGUAAAGGGAUGGAAGUCAUCAGUAUACCAGUGAAUAGAUCCUGAGAAGACGCAGUAGUAGAUGGCUGGUCGAGUGAAGAAAGACACGAUCGCUAAGACAAUGCAGAACAAUACGUGCACGAUCAAGGCUGUGACGGAGCCCGUGUUGCUGGGCGAGGGCCCGCACUGGUCGCACCACCACCACGCGCUGUUCUUCGUCAGCAUCUUCGACAAGACCAUACACAAAUA